rnacentral:piRNA from 1 species
UGAGAGCUGCGCAGGUG